rnacentral:rRNA from 1 species
GAUCCUUUCCGGGAUUCAGUGCCGCAGCUAACGCAUUAAGCACUCCGCCUGGGGAGUACGGCCGCAAGGCUAAAACUCAAAGGAAUUGACGGGGGCCCGCACAAGCGGCGGAGCAUGCGGAUUAAUUCGAUGCAACGCGAAGAACCUUACCAAGGCUUGACAUGUUCUCGAUCGCCGUAGAGAUACGGUUUCCCCUUUGGGGCGGGUUCACAGGUGGUGCAUGGUUGUCGUCAGCUCGUGUCGUGAGAUGUUGGGUUAAGUCCCGCAACGAGC